rnacentral:rRNA from 1 species
GCAGUCGAGCGGAACGAGUUAUCUGAACCUUCGGGGAACGAUAACGGCGUCGAGCGGCGGACGGGUGAGUAAUGCCUAGGAAAUUGCCCUGAUGUGGGGGAUAACCAUUGGAAACGAUGGCUAAUACCGCAUGAUGCCUACGGGCCAAAGAGGGGGACCUUCGGGCCUCUCGCGUCAGGAUAUGCCUAGGUGGGAUUAGCUAGUUGGUGAGGUAAGGGCUCACCAAGGCGACGAUCCCUAGCUGGUCUGAGAGGAUGAUCAGCCACACUGGAACUGAGACACGGUCCAGACUCCUACGGGAGGCAGCAGUGGGGAAUAUUGCACAAUGGGCGCAAGCCUGAUGCAGCCAUGCCGCGUGUGUGAAGAAGGCCUUCGGGUUGUAAAGCACUUUCAGUCGUGAGGAAGGUGGUGUAGUUAAUAGCUGCAUUAUUUGACGUUAGCGACAGAAGAAGCACCGGCUAACUCCGUGCCAGCAGCCGCGGUAAUACGGAGGGUGCGAGCGUUAAUCGGAAUUACUGGGCGUAAAGCGCAUGCAGGUGGUUUGUUAAGUCAGAUGUGAAAGCCCGGGGCUCAACCUCGGAAUAGCAUUUGAAACUGGCAGACUAGAGUACUGUAGAGGGGGGUAGAAUUUCAGGUGUAGCGGUGAAAU